rnacentral:rRNA from 1 species
UACGAAGGGUGCAAGCGUUACUCGGAAUUACUGGGCGUAAAGCGUGCGUAGGUGGUCUGUUAAGUCUGAUGUGAAAGCCCUGGGCUCAACCUGGGAAUUGCAUUGGAUACUGGCAGGCUAGAGUGCGGUAGAGGAUGGCGGAAUCCCCGGUGUAGCAGUGAAAUGCGUAGAGAUCGGGAGGAACAUCUGUGGCGAAGGCGGCCAUCUGGACCAGCACUGACACUGAGGCACGAAAGCGUGGGGAGCAAACAGG